rnacentral:lncRNA from 1 species
GGCUCCCAUGGUACUUAAAACAGUUCACGCUUGGAACAUUCAGCCCAUGGUUCAUUGUACAACUUUCUGAUAACACGCAGUGGCCAGACUUCUGCUUCUCGACCAUAGAAACCUAUCCCUCAAGGUCCAGAACCAAGCAGUCUCCUCUCCUGACCAGCCUCUAUUUUCCAUCAAAAUCUCUGCCCACACCCUUCAAUUUUUGAACUAGGAGGCUGUGAUAGGACCAUAGAAGCUUUGAAUAUAAACACAUCUACUUGUAUGAUUUAUCAGCUGCGGGGAAAAAAUGAAGACUCCUUUAGUAUUUGGAUCAGAAUCCACCAAAGUAUUUAUUUCAAACAGGCGUAAAUGGAGGAAGCUAAUACCAGUGACUGACCUCCAGGAAAUUGAUCCCCCACUGACAGUGACUGCUAGCAAGCUCUGCCUCUCUGGAGGGAGGCAGAGUGGAAAUGCCCCGCAGCUCUGGCUCCUGGGCGGCUCACGGCAGGCACAGGUGAGGCCUGGGAUCUGGACGGCUGGCGAUGGUGUGGUGGAGGAGAGCCCUGGGUGCAGGUGAGUGUCUGGACCCAUAGGACUUCUUCCCACGGGAACAAAGAAGCCC